rnacentral:rRNA from 1 species
CUACGGGGGGCUGCAGUCGGGAAUAUUGGACAAUGGGGGAAACCCUGAUCCAGCCAUGCCGCGUGUGUGAAGAAGGCCCUAGGGUUGUAAAGCACUUUUAGUAGUGAGGAAGGCUCAGUAGUUAAUACCUACUGGGAUUGACGUUAGCUACAGAAAAAGCACCGGCUAAUUUCGUGCCAGCAGCCGCGGUAAUACGAAAGGUGCAAGCGUUAAUCGGAAUUACUGGGCGUAAAGCGCGCGUAGGCGGCUUGGUAAGUUGGAUGUGAAAGCCCCGGGCUCAACCUGGGAACUGCAUCCAAAACUGCCUAGCUAGAGUAUGGUAGAGGAUGGCGGAAUUUCCUGUGUAGCGGUGAAAUGCGUAGAUAUAGGAAGGAACAUCAGUGGCGAAGGCGGCCAUCUGGACCAAUACUGACGCUGAGGUGCGAAAGCGUGGGGAGCAAACAGGAUUAGAUACCCCGGUAGUC